UCAGGAUCUUCAAUCUCGUAGAACUCGAAGAGCUAUAUCACUUGGUCGCCAACGCUUGAUCUUCGAUUCCUUGAAGCUUGGAGAUGGAUCGCAAUCUAUUCGCGACGCACAGCGAAUACAAACAGGCACAAACAAACAAACACAUAUAUAUGCAUAAGAACAUUACACCAUACAAGAUAAAAUGUUAUACAAACAUGCAGCAUAAAAUAGAGCUCGAUUCUAUGGUUACGCGAGGGAAAGAAACGUCGAACUCGAAACUACGGUAGAGAAGUUAGCGCGUUAACGUUAAACAAGUAUUAACAAUAACUUUUAGUUCAAACAUGAUCAAAUAUAAAUAUUGUACAUCAGUUAGUUCGAUUAAUCUGCUACACUAACAAUGUCUGUUAAUUAAAUAAUUUAAUUAAAACAAGAGAUUCUAAGCGAGAUGAAUUUAUGACGCGUGAAACAGCACGACAGCGUGCAAAUGACGCGCGGACACACGCGACAUAGCACGCUGACGACACAUGAAACAGCGCGCGCGACGAGCGCGAACGCGCACGAAUCAGCACGCCGGCGCGCGCGGAACGGCACCCGCGACAUACGAGAAUAAUUAAACAGGUGACACGUUUAUACUAAACGAAUGUUAAAUAAAUAGAAAGCAGUUAAAUUAAUAUUAUCCAUGUUAAUAUUUAUUAUAAAAGCCCAAGAUAGAAACUACAUCCUUUAAUCUGAUUGGAAUAUUAAUCUAAUAAUUAUUAGUCGAGCAAUCCUUAAAUUAGUUAUCUAAAAUAUAUGAUAUGACAUAUUAAUAUCGUUAACAUGAGUGUUUAUAAGCGGCAAACUAUUUAUUAUCACGCGCAUACAACGCGCGACACACGCAAAACAACGCACACGACAAUAAAAAGUAUUUUAGUUGGUAUUAAUCAUGUUAAUUAACAUUUAUAUUUAUAAAAGCAGAGUUAAAACUAUAGACUCGUUCUAAUUAAAUUAUUAUUUUAUUAACCCUCGAACAAAAUAAUAAUUAAUUAUUUAACUAAGAUAUGCGACACGACAACCACGAGCGUCGUGGGAACAACGUGCACGACAACACGCGCAACAGACGUGUGGCGCGAACGCUCGAACGAACAACGGCGACACGCAAACAGCGCGCGACUCGCGAAAACGGUGCGACAUGCGAAACUACUAAACUGCGUCGUUUUUAUUAUAAUAAUCAAGUGUUAAAUAUAACCUUUACGUAGCAUCAACACGUUAUCAGCUAUCUACAAACGCCUAAUUAAAAUUAUAAACUAGAUUUGAUUGAGCUGUUGUUUUAAUAACUGAAAACUAAACAAUUAAUCAAGUGAUUAACAUGAACGACAUGACGAAGUGAUGUUAUUAAAGCGCGCAAAUAACGAUUUACCGAGCGAUGACGAAGAGAGCGAGCAGCACGCGCUACACACGUGAACAACGCGAUAACAACUAAAUAGACGACACGUUUACAUUAAAUAAAUAUUAGUUGAAAACAUCUGAGUCGGCACUAACCACAUUAAUUUGCAUCUAUAAAAUCACCAUUUAAAACUAUACCUUAAUUUUAAUUAGAAUGUCGUUCAAAUAAACCUUGGAUUAACUACCUAAUUAACGAAAACAUGUGUCAUGACGAAAUACUAAUUGUAACACGUAGGCGAUGUUAUUAUGAAGCUAACACCAUUUAAACGAUACAAAACGGACUUAAAACGCAAUAGAUAAUGUACAAUUAAUACACCACGGAACUAAAUGACGUGGCACAAAUUGAGUGGUUUUAGAAUAUCCACACGUUGGACCAUAAAGAGCACAACUAUUGAAAAUCCUGGGAUGCUUUAUUGGGGCGUUGCAUGUCGACAUGCGGGAAGGUGCAGAUGUCUCAUGUGGACCGUGAAGGACGGUUUCUUUUCAAAAUGCACAGCACUAAAGAGUCGCGGGGAGGUGGAAAUAGGCAUGCAGGUGGGGCCCACUAGCAGUUUCUUCUUCCUCUUCUCAUGGCUAACUGGUAACCGCACGAGUGAUUCUCUCGCUGCUCACGACGCAUGCACGCAGGGAGAGGGAAAUGGCCGCUGCGCUAAGCGAGCUCGCAUGCAGAGGGACAGGGCACGGGGCAGGCCCCGGGCGCUAUGCCAGGAUCGUGCCGAGGCCGGAUCGGGGUGGUCGCGGGCAAGCCGCACAGGCUGCCGUGCCGGGGGCACGCCGCACAAGGUCACGAUCGGACGCGCUGGUGCGCAGGGCUGCAUCGGGGGCACGCCGCGUAGGGCGCGAGCGGCCACGCCGGGAGCACGAGGCUACACCACGGGCGGCCAUGCUGCAGCGGGAGGGAGUACAGGAAGAGCAGCAGGCCGGCCAUGGCCGUCGAGAACGAAGGGGAGGGAGGGAAAAAGAGGAGGGAGUUAGACGGCAAGGAGGUCUCACCUCCGUGGACUCGAGCGCGGGUGCCUGGGAUGGGCUCCGGCGAGGUGGACGGCGAAGACGGGCGAAGCGACGCCUGCGGACUGUGAUGGCGGUUCCGGCUUGCCUCCUGCUGCGCGCGACGG
rnacentral:lncRNA from 1 species